rnacentral:rRNA from 1 species
CUCAGAUUGAACGCUAGCGGGAUGCCUUACACAUGCAAGUCGAACGGCAGCACGGACUUCGGUCUGGUGGCGAGUGGCGAACGGGUGAGUAAUGUAUCGGAACGUGCCUAGUAGCGGGGGAUAACUACGCGAAAGCGUAGCUAAUACCGCAUACGCCCUACGGGGGAAAGCAGGGGAUCGUAAGACCUUGCACUAUUAGAGCGGCCGAUAUCGGAUUAGCUAGUUGGUGGGGUAACGGCUCACCAAGGCGACGAUCCGUAGCUGGUUUGAGAGGACGACCAGCCACACUGGGACUGAGACACGGCCCAGACUCCUACGGGAGGCAGCAGUGGGGAAUUUUGGACAAUGGGGGAAACCCUGAUCCAGCCAUCCCGCGUGUGCGAUGAAGGCCUUCGGGUUGUAAAGCACUUUUGGCAGGAAAGAAACGUCGUGGGUUAAUACCCCGCGAAACUGACGGUACCUGCAGAAUAAGCACCGGCUAACUACGUGCCAGCAGCCGCGGUAAUACGUAGGGUGCAAGCGUUAAUCGGAAUUACUGGGCGUAAAGCGUGCGCAGGCGGUUCGGAAAGAAAGAUGUGAAAUCCCAGAGCUUAACUUUGGAACUGCAUUUUUAACUACCGAGCUAGAGUGUGUCAGAGGGAGGUGGAAUUCCGCGUGUAGCAGUGAAAUGCGUAGAUAUGCGGAGGAACACCGAUGGCGAAGGCAGCCUCCUGGGAUAACACUGACG